UCUUUUUCCGCUCUGCGCGAGAGCGCGCCCGCUGAAUUUAUAUAAAGUGUGUAAUUAAGUACGCACACCAGAAGAAAAAGGGUCGCGGAGAUGAGGGGGGCGGUUGAUGAGCGCGUCGGAAUUAAAAUUUUCGUAUUGACUCAGAUCUUUGCAGUGGGGGAAAUUAUUUGCGACGUGCAUGUGGAAAGCCCUUGGCCGCUGUGGUAAUUAACUUUUUUUGUAUGACGGCAUUUUUCUGAGAGUUGCAAAAGGAUUUGAAAUUUUAAAUGAGCACGUACAAAUUUGGACAGGCAUAUGUUUUAAUUUUUUAUAAAGUGUACAACUUUUGUUGGUUAUUGCGGUCGCCUGGCACCCGUUGUAUAAUUGAAGAGAGCGCAGAAGAAUGAAAAGAAGUGGAGCAGUCGGAGGUGGGCCCGCAACAAACGCGAAAGUGUCGUAAAGGACAAAGCGAACGACCAGCAAACAUCUGCAAAGGGUCUCUCGUUGGGCAAUUAGCGGCGAGGCAAGCAGGAAAGGAAAGCGAGUCUCAUGACAUUGCAUUCGUUUUCUGCUUUGAAUGUCAGCGGGUUUCAGCGAGUUUUUAUUUUUCCCAAACAAGUUCCUCACAAAUGGCAACCUGUGUAUGUUUGAUGUUUGCAUAAAUUAAAAAUAUUUACCCGAA